rfam:Ascochyta rabiei strain ArDII scaffold_302, whole genome shotgun sequence.
UUUUGUGGUAACAGAACGAGAGACAGCAAGGCUUCCCGUUCGCUCAGCCCUAUUUGAGCAACGUACCGGCGGAUUAGUAGUUAGGUGGGUGACCACUAGCGAAUACCCGCUGUUGUAUGUU